AGAAAAUGUUGUAUGAAUAAGCCUUUACUCCAAGGACUUGUGUUUCUUCACAUCCUUAGGAAUUGCUCUGUGGUUUAGAAACCAAGCAUAUUGUUAAUUCUAUCUCUAUUGAAUGCCUUUUGACUCAGGAGACUAACAAACAAUGUUGGCAGGAACAUCAGUCAAUCUUCUGAAAGACUGAAAACUACAGGAGUCUUCACCAAUUCCAUGGAGUGUUGCAUAUAUUAUGGCUUGGAAAGAAAAUAAAUCCUUUGUGGCAGAAAUUUGUGAACUUGGCUUUAAAGAUAUUGCAUGAGCUAUUCCAUAGUACACAAUUAUCAACUCAGCUUCUCAUUUACUAAAAAAUAGUAUCACUUGGACCAGAAACUUGACUCUGGAGCUUCCAGAGGAUAAAGGGAAACAUUCAUCUGCACAGAAUGGCAUGGCACGCAGAAGUGAUGAGGGCUGCACUCCAAGAGGAUUAAGCACACAAAGAAGAUAAUUAACUUGCUGAGGCCCUACAGAAAAUUGUGGAAUGGUAAGAACGGCAUUCAGAGUUUCUGCUAUCCUAAGAAAGAUUGAUUCAAAUAGCUACAGUACAUGCCUCAGAGUUCAUUUGUAAGCCCCAAGUGUUCAUAGAAAUGAAGAAGAAUAUUUAACCUUAAACAUCAGGCAAAGAAAAUAAAAUGUUGAUAAUUUACAA
ensembl:lncRNA